AGGGAACUGUUACUUCACUGACUGGAUACAGCCUGUGGGUUACUCUUUUUCUCUUGCAAAAGUACAAUGUUGAUUUUUGAGAUGGAAGUGGACAUGGGCUUGGAAGGCGCUGCCUAAAGGAUCAUUGAGGAAUUUCUGAAGUACUAUCUACAAGAUGCACAUGUUUCUGCUAUUGAACAUCAGUGGUAGAGGCAGUGGAUAUCGUGCCAAACAAGCAGGCUGCUUUGUACUGGAUGAUGUCAAGCUUCCCAAGUGUUAAAGCUGCACCCAUCCAGACAAGUGGGGGGUAUUUCAUCGCACUCUGGACUUGUGCCUUUGAGAUGGUGGACAGGCUUUGAAAGUCAGGAAGUGAGUUACUUGCUGCAGUAUUCCUUGCCUCAGACUUGCUUUGCAGGCAUUGUAUUUUUUUGUGCUAUAUUUAACAAUGGCCUGAAGAUUGAAAGUGGUGGAAAUCUGCAUCUGAUUGAAAACUCCAUGGGAAAGAUGACUGGAACUACACAGGUAUUUAUACCAAAAGAUAAGUUGGUGGAAUUGCCCUUAACCUAAUACACACAGUGGAUCCUUCAUAUUAGACCGAACUGAGAACAGGGAAGUCGAACUGAGGACCUCAUUUGGGAAAAAGACAUCCAAGAGGAGGAAGCCAGCCGAAGAGCUUCUGAAAUCUGACCUUUCCAAGCCAACAACAUCAAUGGCGAGAACCUCAACAACUGACCACGACUAUCCAAAUGACCAAAAACUCAAAGAAACAACUGACUCAACUGAUAUCACCGGUCCUCAGACUGAGGUGAAAACUGGGCUUGUCAAAACAGCAUAAAGUAAAGAAAACCAGAUACUUACUCAAUACAUUCAAUACCCACCUAACCAUAUGAGCAGACUCAGCCCAAACUGAAGAACCUACACCUAUCUGAAGUCUUCAUCCAGGCUCUGGAUAGGGCAAGCAGGAAUAGCCAGGUGCAUUUCAAAUCAGUGUUCUGCAUGUUGAGCACAAACUCCGACUCGAAGUUCCAACAUAGCUAGAAGGGAGGGAAAGGAGGGUGCUGAUAAUGCAUUGGGACCUGUGGGUAGGAAUUCUGAUUUAAGAGUGAAAAACUAAACAGUGUUUGUAUUCUGUGUCAAUAAGAUGGUGUCAAAUCAUGGUAAUCUAGUUAAGAGUGUAUUUUAAGGUACUACUGUUUUCCUGUGUAUUAAUUGUUAAUUUCCUUUUAUUGCAUUACCUAUUUCUUGUACUUUGAUUUUUUUUGUACCUUAAUUAGAUGCAGAGAUUCUUUUGCUCUUUCACACCUGUCUACUGCCUCUUCAUUUCAUGUCCCCAUAAAUUAGUCCAGUGUCCAGAACCUGGGGUUGGGAGCAAUUCAAACUGCUUAAAGAUCGGAAAAAUAACUGAUUGCAAACCAAAAUGCUACGGUAGUCACUUGGAACUUGGAAGAAAUGAAAAGUGUCAUGAGUACUUCAAUUUACAAGCUUUGGUCAAGUCAUGGAAAAUGUUUCUCAAAUACAUUCUCAGGAGUAAGAAAGUUGGCAGUUAUUGUCUGUGCUGCCUUCCUGCACAUACUGUGACACAUGAUUCUAGCCAAUAUAGACAUCUUACUGACAAAUCAUUCUAUUCUCAUUUCAACCUUCUCUCUGGUAGCUUCCUCCCAAUUUCUUUAGCAGGAAAGCUGCAGACAUUCUUCAUCCUAACUGCAUUUUUUUUUUACCUCAAAUGCACAGUUAACACCGUUACCUUGUGGGAAAUAGUUAUCUUUUUAUGUGAGAGGGUAGUGGAUAGGGGUUUAACACUAAGGAUCAAUGCUGGGGCUACUGUUCUUUUUUAUAUACAUAUAAAUUGCUUAGAUGUAUAAACACAGAGGAAAGUGUCAAAAUUUCUCAAAGAUACCAAAUUUGGUGGAGUGGAAACACCAUGGACAAUACAAACUGGCUCCAAGGAUAUAAAUAUAUUAACAGAAUGGGCUGACAAACGGUUAAUAGAAUUUGAUACAACAAAGUGUGACCUAGUGCAUUCUGUCAGAUGGGGGAGGGAUAAAUCACACAGGCUUAAGUUCAGUGGGCCUCACGAGGUCAGGUAGGAGAGAAUAUAUCAAGAGUGAGACAUGGCCCAAAUGAGUAUAUAAUUUGGGGAAUUUGGAAGCAAUGUGGAAAUUUGGUUAGGG